rnacentral:lncRNA from 1 species
GGCAGGGGCAGGCCCGCGGUGCCGCUGCAUCUCUGUAUCCCUCGGCUCACCUGGCUCUGGCAGAGGCUGCAGCAGCUAGGCCUGGGUGAAAGGCAGCAGCCAUCCCGGAGAGGAUGCGGCUGGAGUGCAGGAGGGCCAUGGUGGGCGGUAAGACGGCAGUGGAUGGUGGUAGAGCCGAGAUCUGGGGAAGCGUCCGCUGGAACCGAGGCGCGGGCUCCUAAAAGGUGAGGACAGUGACUUCCCUGGGCGUGGCUAGAGCGGCCCUGCGCCUGGAGCGAAUCAUGUCGCAGCGGCCCCUUGCGGUCGGGGGUAGAACGACGACGCCUCCACGGAGGUCAUGGAAACUCGCAAGGGCACUGCUAAUCGCUGCCUAUAAAUCCUGUGAAGCUUGUAUGUGAGGAUGCGCAGUCCACAGUGCUCAGCGCUCUGCUUCCAGUUAAUCAUCCGCUACGCUAGAGGCAGCUGCCUAGCGUGCCAGUUUGAAAGAAGGAAAAAAAUGUAAACUGACCCGAGGAAGUAUUUUUUUUUUUUCCUAAUGCUCCAGUGUGGUUUUCCUUUCAACCCACUAGUUUCCCCAAGUGCAAGUCUCUCAAGGUUCAGAAUGCUUUCAUGUCCCUGUUAGAGGACAACAGGCAUAUUUUGUGGGGCAGUUGUGAGUAUUAACUUGUGAGAUUAGCAGAUUAUGCCCU